ACUCAAAUGAAUUGACGGGGGCCCGCACAAGCGGUGGAGCAUGUGGAUUAAUUCGUCAUUAACCGAAGAACCUUACCAGGGCUUGACAUCCCGCGCUACCCGGUGAAAGCCGGGGUUCCUCUGGGCAACCAGGGGACGCGGAGACAGGUGUUGCAUGGCUGUCGUCAGCUCGUGUCGUGAGAUGUUGGGUUAAGUCCCGCAACGAGCGCAACCCUCACGGCCGGUUGCCAUCAGGUUAAGCUGGGCACUUUGGCCGAACUGCCCCGGCAACGGGGAGGAAGGUGAGGAUGACGUCAAGUCGGCAUGGCCCGUAUGUCCUGGGCUUCACACAUGCUACAAUGGGGUGGACAGAGGGCUGCAAACCCGUGAGGGGGAGCCAAUCCCAAAAACCACUCCUCAGUUCGGAUUGGAGGCUGCAACUCGCCUCCAUGAAGUCGGAAUCGCUAGUAACCGCCGGUCAGCUAUACGGCGGUGAAUACGUACCCGGGCCUUGUACACACCGCCCGU
rnacentral:rRNA from 1 species